rnacentral:rRNA from 1 species
GUAGCUUGCUACUUUGCCGGCGAGCGGCGGACGGGUGAGUAAUGUCUGGGAAACUGCCUGAUGGAGGGGGAUAACUACUGGAAACGGUGGCUAAUACCGCAUAACGUCGCAAGACCAAAGUGGGGGACCUUCGGGCCUCACGCCAUCGGAUGUGCCCAGAUGGGAUUAGCUAGUAGGUGGGGUAAUGGCUCACCUAGGCGACGAUCCCUAGCUGGUCUGAGAGGAUGACCAGCCACACUGGAACUGAGACACGGUCCAGACUCCUACGGGAGGCAGCAGUGGGGAAUAUUGCACAAUGGGCGCAAGCCUGAUGCAGCCAUGCCGCGUGUGUGAAGAAGGCCUUCGGGUUGUAAAGCACUUUCAGCGAGGAGGAAGGCAUCAUACUUAAUACGUGUGGUGAUUGACGUUACUCGCAGAAGAAGCACCGGCUAACUCCGUGCCAGCAGCCGCGGUAAUACGGAGGGUGCAAGCGUUAAUCGGAAUUACUGGGCGUAAAGCGCACGCAGGCGGUUUGUUAAGUCAGAUGUGAAAUCCCCGCGCUUAACGUGGGAACUGCAUUUGAAACUG